rnacentral:rRNA from 1 species
AACGUAGGAGGCGAGCGUUAUCCGGAUUUACUGGGCGUAAAGCGCACGCAGGCGGUUCCGUUAGUCGGACGUGAAAGCUCCUGGCUUAACUGGGAGAGGCCAUUCGAUACUGCGGGACUUGAGGUUGGGAGAGGAGUGUGGAAUUCCCGGUGUAGUGGUGGAAUGCGUAGAGAUCGGGAGGAACACCUGUGGCGAAAGCGGCACUCUGGCCCACACCUGACGCUGAGGUGCGAAAGCGUGGGUAGCAAACAGG